GAGGAAAAACUGAACGUACCUCUCAGAUAUAGGCUCUUAAUAUACUCUUCCCUUUCCUCCUGCUACCCCCAUAUUUUAUGAGCCAAGAGAAAUGCCCAUGAGGGUGGAGGAAUGUGGGGAUUUCAGUCUAUAUUACCCUACCAUUAAAAUCGGUAAUCUUGAUAUUUAAAAAACCCACAGCAGGAGUUGUAUACAUAGUUUUGGUGAUUCCUGUUAGCGUUUUCAAGUUAAGACUGCCUGAGCCUGGCCUUUUUGCUGACUGCCAACCAACGUUACCUAAAAACAAAGACACAUUGUUGCCAGGCCCUUUACUAUUUAUAUUCUCUGCUCUUCCUUGUCUUACAAAUCUUAAGUUUUUCAAAGACAGCUAGAAGCCCUCAUACUACUUGCCAAAUAACUAAAGGUUUAUUGCAUGGCAUUUUGUUUUCAUUUCCAUAAAGUUUGUCUCCUAAUCCUUAUCUAUUAAGAAAUUUAAAUUUUUCUCAGGUACUUGGUAAACUACAAUAUCCCAGUUAACAUUAACUUCCACGAGACUCCUACAAAGACCACAUUAUGCUAUCUAGAGUGGGUUAUUAUAGGCACUAAAUGUACUUUCAACUCAUUUUGAAUACUCAAACUUACCAGCUCUAGACUGGUGGACGUGUUGCUCCAAAUUGAUUGCAUUUUAAGUUGCAAACUUAGUUUUUGGUUCCUAAACAAGAAUGCCCACUUUUCCUGCUGUGUCAAAUUAUCUGCUCAGUAAUACAAGGCAAGGCCGAGGUGGGAAAACUUGCUUGAGUUUAAGACCAGCGCUUGAGUUUAAGACCAGCCUGAACAAUGUAGUUGUACCCCACCUUUAUAAAGACAAAUAAACUCUAAAAGCUUAGUGUUUGUCAAACGCACAGAAUAAACAGGUGAUGUAGGAAAAUUUUACCUGUAUUGGCGACACUUCUCCCAUAGAAUACAGCAGCACCCAGCAUUAAAACUCUUAAUUGAAAUCAUUAAGUGGCUCUGAAAAGAGCCUUUGGGUUUGAACAUGCGUGCUUGGCCAGUUCCCCAGGCAGCAGCAGGCGCACGGCUGUCUGGAUCUCCCUGGAGGUGAUGGUCGAACGCUUGUUGUAAUGAGCCAGGCGGGAAGCCUCGCCGGCGAUGCGCUCGAAGAUAUCGUUGACAAAGGAAUUCAUGAUCCCCAUGGCUUUGGAGGAGAUGCCGGUGUCGGGGUGGACUUGCUUCAGCACCUUGUAAACGUAUACGGAGUAGCUCUCCUUGCGGCUGCGUUUACGCUUCUUGCCAUCCUUCUUCUGCGCCUUGGUCACCGCCUUCUUGGAGCCCUUCUUCGGGGCGGGAGCGGACUUAGCUGGAUCAGGCAUUGCAACAAGAUAAAGGAGUAAGAAUACACCCCAAAGUGAAG
rnacentral:lncRNA from 1 species